CAUCUCUAAGCAUUAAGAAGGAAAGAAAUUCAACAGAUUAACCUUAAACAAGGCACACUUGUUAAUUGAAAUUCCAGGAGGACGUGCAGGGAUGAGACCCAUGGACCACAGUGUGCUGAAAUGUCUCUUCUCCCUAUUCUUGCUAACAGUAUCUGCAUCAGGCACUCUAUCCAACGCAGCAGUUACUACUAUCCAACCACUAUCAAAUACAGCCAGUGCAUCCCAACCAGCCAACACAGCCACUUCAUCCAGUGCAACCACACCAUCCUGUUUGACCCGUCGAUGUCUGGCCAGCAUGCUGAUUGCGAAAGAAGCUCGGAGUCCGCCACAGUCUCCACGGUGCAUCUCAAUUAUCCGUGUGCCGUCAAUCGUGUACGAAACUCUGUC
ensembl:lncRNA